GACAUUUUCGUUUUGAGACGAAGAGCCUCCACGAGAAACGAAACUACGCGUCGAAUAUAGGAGCAAAUAUAGGAGCAUCCGCGAUUUCUUCUUGUCCACGUGUGGAGUGUUCAUCUUUAAACCCUCACCCUCACCUUUACCUUCUAAUUUCGACUCUCAUGUUUAGGUCGCUGAGGGUGUUUGAGCUUGUGGAAUUUGUGGUGGAGGUAGAGGAUGAUGAGGAGGUCAAUUGGAUUUCGUGUUUUCCCGAGACCCAAACCAAUAUGGAGUCUCUUGUGUUCGAUUGCGUUGAGUGUCCUAUUAAUUUCGAGGCUUUGGAGGCUUUGGUGGCUAGGUCACCUUCCUUGAAGAAGCUUCGUUUGAACCGAUGUGUCUUCAUGGCGCAGCUUUACUGGUUAAUGGUUCAGGCUCCGUAGCUUACUCACCUUGGAACCGACUCAUUCAGUGCUACGGAGGGUGCGCUGGUUUCUGAUCAAGAGCUGGAUUAUGCUGCCGCAUUUGAGCUUUACUGAUUAAUGAUUAUAUUAUGCCAUUGUGUGUUUUGAUUGUAUUCUUGUGGAUUUGAAUUUUGAUUUGGGGCAGAUUGGUGUUUGGAUGUUGUUCUUGUACAGGUGCUUGAUUCGAUAUGCGAUGAAGGGCUUCAGGCAGUGGCUGUGGCUUGCAAGGACUUUAUAAAGAGAUUAACAUAAUUAUUAAUGGACUUAAUGGAACCAAAACAAUUCUGGCUUUUUCCUUACUGUAUCUCCUGAUUCGAUACAAUUAGUUGCUGAACAUGCAGCCAAGAAUAACAAGUUCUUCAUGAUGAACCUUUCUGCUCCCUUUAUUUGUGAGUUCUUCAAGGAUGAACAGGAGAAAUUUUUGCCAUUGAUAAUGUCGAGGAAAUAGCUUUAAAGAUUUCCUAGUGGCCAAAGGCAUCAGGAACACACAAAAGAAUUACCGUUAUCACACAAGAUGACUAUUUUAGAAGAAACAAAAGAAUGUGAUGAACAAGAAAAGUUCCAGGCACAAGAUAAAGGACAUGUUACAUUCAUGAUAUAUGUUAAGUUUUUUAUUCACUCAUUUUUUUCACAGGUGUUUUUUUUUUCUUGAGACAGUUUUAAGAACUUCAUGCACUUCGUUGUUGAAAAUGUUCCAAAUUUUUGUGUU